rnacentral:rRNA from 1 species
AUACGGAGGAUGCGAGCGUUAUCCGGAUUUAUUGGGUUUAAAGGGGGCGUAGGUGGGAUAUUAAGUCAGCUGUGAAAGUUUGGGGCUCAACCUUAAAAUUGCAGUUGAUACUGGUUUCCUUGAGUACGGUACAGGUGGGCGGAAUUCGUGGUGUAGCGGUGAAAUGCUUAGAUAUCACGAAGAACUCCGAUCGCGAAGGCAGCUCACCGGGCCGGAACUGACACUGAUGCUCGAAAGUGCGGGUAUCAAACAGGAUUAGAUACCCUGGUAGUCCGCACAGUAAACGAUGAAUACUCGCUGUUUGCGAUACACUGUAAGCGGCCAAGCGAAAGCGUUAAGUAUUCCACCUGGGGAGUACGCCGGCAACGGUGAAACUCAAAUGAAUUGACGGGG